ensembl:lncRNA
UUUUUCUUUUUUUUUUUUUUUUUGGUAGAGAUAGGGGACUCGCUAUGUUGCCCAGGCUUGUCUCAAACUCCUGGCCUCAAGCCAUCCUCCUGCUUUAGCCUCCCAAAUUGCUGGGAUGACAGCUGUGAGGCACUAUGCCCAGAAUAAAUUAUUUUAGUAUUACAGCCAUUAUAGAUUAGGUUUCUAAAUAACAUUUGUUUUUCCAUAUCAUAAAAGUAAUCAAUCUUCAUUGUGAAACAUUUGGAAAACACAAGACACAUAUGUAAGAAAAAAUUACCUACUCUCUUACCACCUGGAGAUUUUGAUAUUUUUCAUUUUGAUAUGUUUCAUUACAGAUUUUUUCAUGAUAUGUGUACAUGUAUGUAUGGGUAUAUACUCUUAAAUGUGUGCUUACACCUGCUCCAAAUGUGUGUGUGUGCACGUGUGCACAAUCCAAUAUACAUCGUGGGGAAUCUACAAAGUUGUGGUCAUGGUGUGGAGCCAGCCCCACAGGCCUCCCCAGAGACAAGGCCCUGGACUGCCCCCAAGUCCUCCUGAAAAGGACAUCUAUGGUGGUGGUAGGGCCACGAAUGGCAACCACCUGGAGGCCCCGAGUACUCAGCGUGAACCAGGAAGUGGAGGGGAAGGGGAAGGGCGGAGUGAGAACCAGGAGGAAUGCUUGCUCUUUUUUCCAAGCACAAGGGACCCUUUUCUUCAUUGCAACUGACCUGAUGCUUAUGCCGGGAAGGAGGAGGGGCACACUCCGUCCUCCGGGUCCCUCAGGAGGAGAGAGGGAGCAAAGUGGGAGACUAGGGUCUGAGGUCUGAACCUGAGCCUGCACCAGCAUCAGUUCCUGUGGGUGGGGGUUGGGGAGGGAGCAGGCAGCCGAGGGCCCUCACCCACUGCAGGGUCUUGUGGGUCAUGUCUUCACCUGUGAUCCUAUAGGAAAUGAGGGUUUUGUUCCACGCGGGGUUCACAGUGUUACGGAGAGUUUUGUUCUGAGCUUAUUUGCCUGGAGAAAGGAAAAAAUGAUCUUAUUAGCAUCAAAGGGUGUGGUAGACAGAACAAUGCCCCCAGAGAUGGCCAUGUCCUCAUCUCCAAAGCUGUGGAUAUGUUAUUGAUAUGCCAAGGGGAACUGAGCCUGCAGAUGGAGUUAGGGUUGUUAAUUAGCUGACUUUAAAAUAGGGAGAUUAUCCUAGACUGUCUGAGUGGCCCAAUGUGGUCACAUGCUUCUUAAAAGCAGAAGAAAGAACAGAGAAGAGAGAGCGAGAUGUCACCAAGGAAGAAGGUCAGGGAGAUGCAACCGGGACGGCUGUGAAGAUGGAGGAAGGGGCCACCAGCCAAGGAGGGCAGGCGACCUCUAGAAGCUGGAAAGAGCCAGGAAAUGGGUGGAAUCCCCAGGCUCCAGAAGGAAUGCAGCCCUGCCAACACCUUGACAUGAGCCCAGGGAGACCGCUGUUGGACUUCUAACCUGCAGAGCUGUCAGAUAGUAAGUGUGCUGCUCUAAGCCUCUAAGUUUGUGCUCAUUUGCUGCAGCAGCCAUAGGAGACUCAUCCAAGGAGGAUCCCAGCUCCAGCCCCGAUGCCCUGGGGUGGGUUCUGCAGGACGCCUGGUGUGGAAAUGAAGUCUCCUUCCGAGGGCAUGCCCUGUCUCUGCGGACUGUCCCCUUUGCCUGGAACCCAUCCUGUCCUUGGGCAUGCUCG